rnacentral:rRNA from 1 species
AUUGAACGCUGGCGGCAGGCCUAACACAUGCAAGUCGAGCGGAGCGGCGGACGGGUGAGUAAUGCCUAGGAAUCUGCCUGGUAGUGGGGGAUAACGUCCGGAAACGGGAGCUAAUACCGCAUACUAUUCGAUGAGCCCAGGUCGGAUUAGCUAGUUGGUGGGGUAACGGCCUACCAAGGCGACGAUCCGUAACUGGUCUGAGAGGAUGACCAGUCACACUGGAACUGAGACACGGUCCAGACUCCUACGUGAGGCAGCAGUGGGGAAUAUUGGACAAUGGGCGAAAGCCUGAUCCAGCCAUGCCGCGUGUGUGAAGAAGGUCUUCGGAUUGUAAAGCACUUUUAGUUGGGAAGCGUUACCAGCAGAAUAAGCACCGGCUGACUACGUGCCAGCAGCCGCGGUAAUAC